UCAUAUGCUUGUCUCAAAGAUUAAGCCAUGCAUGUCUAAGUACUAGCCACUUGACGGUGAAACCGCGAAUGGCUCAUUAAAUCAGUUAUGGUUCCUUAGAUCGUACCAUCCUACUUGGAUAACUGUGGUAAUUCUAGAGCUAAUACAUGCCGAUCAGCUCUGACCUUCGGGGACGAGCGCAUUUAUUAGAACAAGACCAAUACGGGCCGGCAACGGUCCGUUCCCAUUUGGUGACUCUGAAUAACCUUGAGCCGAUCGCACGGUCUCGCACCGGCGACGCAUCUUUCAAAUGUCUGCCUUAUCAACUGUCGACGGUAGGUUAUGGGCCUACCAUGGUAGUAACGGGUAACGGGGAAUCAGGGUUCGAUUCCGGAGAGGGAGCCUGA
rnacentral:rRNA from 1 species